AUCCAACUAACGAGUCCCAAUUAGGACGAAACGCGCGUCAAACUGGAU
rfam:Schistosoma mansoni strain Puerto Rico chromosome 3, complete genome